rnacentral:snRNA from 1 species
UUGCUUGGCCAACACAUACACUAAAACUGGAAGGAUACACAGAAGACUAGCAUGGCCCCUAAAGUUAUUUUUAAAAGAGUUACAUGCAAACUAUGA